UCCCAGUUAACCCGGGCAGUCUGACUAGAGUGCCCACCAUUACAUGCUGGCAACUAAUCACAAGGGUUGCGCUCGUUGCGGGACUUAACCCAACACCUCACAGCACGAGCUGACGACAGCCAUGCAGCACCUGUGCAGGGACCCUUACGGGACGCAUCAUCUCUGAUGUUGUCCCCUGCAUUUCUAACCUGGGUAAGGUUCUUCGCGUUGCAUCGAAUUAAACCACAUGCUCCACUGCUUGUGCGAGCCCCCGUCAAUUCUUUUGAGUUUCACCCUUGCGAGCGUACUCCCCAGGCGGUGCACUUAACGCGUUAGCUACGACACAAUGGGGGUUGAUUCCCACUACGUCUAGUGCACAUCGUUUAAGGCAAGGACUAC
rnacentral:misc_RNA from 1 species